CCCAAUUGGCCAAUUCCCAUCAAGGCAUCAACCCACCCCACCGCCUCUUCUUCACCUCAUCUCUUCCUUUACUAAAUUCUCCUCUCUCUCUCUCUCUCUCUCUCUCCAAAUUCUGCUGUUAUAUUCUUCCCAAAUUCCCCAACUAACCGCAGAUGCUUCGGCUUCCAAAUGUUGAAGAGAUUUUAUGCUAUUGUAAACUAAUACUCCACUGUAUGCGAUACGUACAUGAUACGGAUGCUCUUGAUUAAGCCCCAACUCUGACCUCGUGGGGUUCGACUGGACUGAUAGGCAACAACUUUCUUUGAAGAAACAUUGGCUGGGAUUCUUGAUCUUUAUAAUUGGAAGUUUCAAGUGGAAGAACAUAUGCUCAAAAUCCAGGUUUUAUUGUUCUUUGUUCUUUGUUAAGUGUUUAUUAUAAAAAUUAAAAAAUGUUUCCUAAGAAACAACUUUCCGGAAAUCUCAAGAGACAAAAAAAGAAAAAAAAUGAUGAAAUUGCUCAAAGUUUAAGAGGAUCUUUGAAUAAAUAUUUUGUUAAACAAACCAAUGCUUCACUUGAAA